rnacentral:rRNA from 1 species
ACUCCUACGGGAGGCAGCAGUCGAGAAUAUUCGACAAUGGGCGAAAGCCUGAUCGAGCGACGCCGCGUGCGGGAAGACGGCCUUCGGGUUGUAAACCGCUUUUGCGUGGGAAGAAUUUUGACGGUACCACGAGAAUAAGGGGUUGCUAACUCUGUGCCAGCAGCCGCGGUAAU